CCCAAUCCUGAUAGGGAGGUGGUGACAAGAUAUAACAACGCGGUUAUUAUCGCGAUUGUAGUGAGGGUUUUCUAACAGAACCUAUAGUACGAUUAGAGGGCAAGUCUGGUGCCAGCAGCCGCGGUAAUUCCAGCUCUAAUAGCGUAUAUUAAAGUUGCUGCAGUUAAAAGCUCGUAGUUGGAUUUCAAGGAUUGUGUACUCUUCUUGUGCUCGUACUCCUCUUAGUCUUUGACUGUUACUGUGAGAAAAUUAGAGUGUUUAAGCAGGCAUUGCAGAAUACAUUAGCAUGGAAUAACGAAUGUAUCUAGAUCUUGGUUAUUCUAGGCGAAGGAGAAAAAGAAAGCAGAGAAUGCAGAGGUGAAUUCUUGAUUGUCAACCACCUACCCCACGCCAAUGCAUUUGCAGGAUGUUUCAUUAUCAGGACGAAGAUAGGGAUCAAGACAUCAGAUACUGUCGUAGUCUAUCUACAACUAUGCGACUAGGGAUUGAGUGAUAUUCACAUUCAGUACCUAUGAGAAGUCAAGUCUUGGGUCUGGGGGAGUCUGUCCCAUGACUGACCUUAGGACUGACGAUGACCACAGAGUGAGCUGCGCUAUGACUCACGGACUACAGUCACAUGAAGAUGCAUGAGCUUCUGAUCUGGUGGGGGCAUGCG
rnacentral:rRNA from 1 species